rnacentral:lncRNA from 1 species
UUCAUUCGCACAUCAAACAUUAUCAUUAAUUAUGUUACAAAAUCGUAUGAGGUUGUCUAUUUUCGGAAACGGAUUUCUUUUUUACCAAUUUAAAACUGUUCUGGAAAAAAUUGCAUUCUAUACACAUGUAUAAAUUAUUCUAAAUUCAACUAAGGAUCUUCUUCUACACAUGUUGUUUAUUAGUCAUGCCUUCGCGAGGUAAGCCUGUAUUGGUUUACACAAGUCUUCCGGUAAUUUGAUAUUUGUGGGAUAAGAUAGAGCAAGUUUAUAAAUACUUUACACAAAGGGAUCCGCAACAUGGGAAUUUUAGCGGAGUUGAAGAAUCAUGCAGACAUGACUAAACUUGAAAGUUUCAAUUACUGGAUUACCUUUUUUGGAUUUAUGAUAUUAGACUUAUGUCGCUAUCAUGUGAAAUAAAGAUGAUAAAAUA